rnacentral:rRNA from 1 species
AUUUUGAUCUGAAAUCAGGUAGGAUUACCCGCUGAACUUAAGCAUAUCAAAUAAGCAGAGGAAAAAGAAACUAACAAGGAUUCCCUCAGUAACGGCGAGUGAAGCGGGAAGAGCUCAAAUUUAAAAUCUGGUUUACUUGUAAAUCCGAGUUGUAGUCUGAAGAAACGUUUUCCAUAAGCACUGAGGCAAAAGUCCCUUGGAACAGGGCAUCAUAGAGGGUGAGAAUCCCGUCCAUGGUCUCAAGUUGUUUAUUUUGUGAUACGUUUUCAAAGAGUCAGGUUGUUUGGGAAUGCAGCCUAAAAUGGGUGGUAAAUUUCAUCUAAAGCUAAAUAUUGGCGAGAGACCGAUAGCGAACAAGUACCGUGAGGGAAAGAUGAAAAGAACUUUGAAAAGAGAGUUAAACAGUACGUGAAAUUGUUGAAAGGGAACCGUUUGAAGCCAGUCUUACUUGCUCGUGAUCAAUUUUUGCUUCGGCAUGAAUGCACUCUCGGGUAUGGUAGGCCAACGACAGUUUAGAAUGCGAGAAAAAAAUAGGGGAAAUGUGGCCUUCGGGUGUUAUAGUCCCUUAUAAAAUAUCGUGUUCUGGACUGAGGAUCGCAGCAAAAAUGUGGGCAGGUGGAUUUCUGUGGUAACUGUUGGUUAGGACAACUUGUUGACCUAGUCUUCCUUAGCCUCACUAUUUACCUUGCUUCUAAUUUGCUUAGGUCGUUGGCAUAAUGGCUUUAAAUGACCCGUCUUGAAACACGGACCAAGGAGUCUAACAUAUAUGCGAGUAUUUGGGUGGCAAACCCAUAUGCGCAAUGAAAGUGAAAUUAGGUGCCAAAACCUUCACGGGUGGCAGCAUCGGGCCGGCUCUGACGU